rnacentral:lncRNA from 1 species
UUCAGAUCUCACAAUCCAUAAGCAAACUGAAGUUUCACCUAAUCUUCAACUAGAAACAAAUAUAAAAAUAAAAGAAAGAAACUAGGAAGAAGAAGGAGAUGGGUCGGCUGGGUGGCGCGCGGUUGCUGUGUUGAUCUUCCCGAAGAAAGAUGUUCUUCUUUGCGGGUUUGGCCCUCUUUUUAUAGCUGAAUAGGCUGCUCUAAGUUUCUUUGUUUAGAUGGAGUCCUUUUCCUAUUUGGAGUUGGAUUCUUUGAAGGCAAUUGAAUCUUCUUGAGAUUUGGCUUCCUUGAUAUGCGGGAUAGGGUGUUGAGCUGUCUUGAAGAGUUGCUGAGCUGUCUUCACGUGUUUGGGGAAGGAUAGACUUCUUGAAGGUUUGAAUUUUGAGUUUUCCGCAUUUCUGUUGUCUGCUAUCUGCAGGUUUGUUUGCCCGAGUUGCUUGGGCAAACAACUUGGUCAAACAGUCUGUUUUAGUGUUGUCUAUCACUUUGCCUCUGUUCUGCGGAGUCUGUUUGCCCAGUUUGCUUGGGCAAACAAUCUGAUCAAACAACAAAUCUGCGCUUUUCUCAUCCUUCUCCCAUUUCAGCUGCAACUUGGUUUGGGCAAACCGACUUGGGCAAACUAGGGUUAUUCUCUUUUGACAAUUUUAAGUUCACCAAGUCAUUCUUUUACAUCAUUUCCUGCAAAAUAAGAUUAAAACCACAAAAUUAGGCAGAAAAAUGUAUAAAUUAGCAUUAAUAAUAAAAUGAAAAAUAGGACUAAUUUUGGCUUGAUCAAGGAGGCAAUUGUAGCAGGACAUUAGAAGGGGAAAUCUGUUAUAUUUUUAUUGCAGCCAUCUUUUUGACUGAUCAAUUCCAACAUUAGUUCACAUGUACGGCCAUCAUUGAAAGCUUCAGAUAGUUUAAGUUUUGAUAUUAUAUCUGAGAAAUAUUACAAACUCACUACUAAAAUUUUGGAAAUCUAUUUGUUACAUUUAGUAUGUCUGGAAAGGUCUCCCCUGGCUUAUGUAACGAAUUACAUAUGUCAAGAAUCAAGUUAGACGAGGGUCACUUAAGUCAAGUCUUUAGUUUGCUGGAAGGAUCAUGAUACCUUUUAUAUACUUUAUCUGUCGCCUAAAAUUUUGUUUUUUGGUCAUAAUCAAUUACUGUUCUAUUGGUCACGGUCAUGCAUUCAUUUCUUCAUUUAGCUGUCAGUUCCUUAUAGUUUAAUUGACAAUUAGAUCAUGUUAUAAUGUCAUUCAGGCUGCACAAUAUUAAUCAUAAGAAAUAUUUACCGUUUCUGUGAUUGCAGACUGUAAUAAUGUCUUUGAUGGGCUUCUUUCUUGUAAUGGUUUGGGCUAAGAAGAAAGAAGUAUGACGGAACAUAGCUUG